GACUUGAGAACGACGUGUGAGAUACUGAUUUGCAUCUUCCUCAAUUGACGCGCUUGGCGGCAAUAUUCCCGACAGUAUGGGCACUUCUUUGUCUCACUUUCAAAUUUUCCAUUAGACACUCAAUUGUUGACCUGACAAGAUGAUUAUGACGAUCAUAAAUUGAACCUAGCGUUUCGACCCGUUGUUGGAUCCUAUAUCUUUCCGUGACGACUUGGCAUGCCUUACUUUUUGCAGCUUUUGUAAUGCCUUGCCUUUCAUUUUAACCCAUAACUAACUGAAUGUUAACACGUUCUAACCGGCGUGGACCACCGGUGGUUCACAGGCAAAUUCAUUUAUCUGACGGCGUGGACCGUGUAAAUAAAAUAUAUUGGGGAAUUAUAAAUUUAUUUUUGUUGUAGGCGUUUUCAACAUAAAUAAAAUUUAUUUUUUAUAGUUCUUUCUAAAAACAAUUAGAAAAGUGACGUUGUAUGAACCACUUGACCAUCUUGUGCCGAGUAGAACGUGUUAACCAAAGAAAAGUUCCAAUUUUGAGAUUUUGCGAAGACUCAUAAGUUUUUUAAUAUACAUUUUCCCAUUUCCAAACACUGUUAUGACAUUUCAAGAAUACUAUCUGAAGAGUGGGAUUGAGAAUCAAUAAGAUAUAAAUAAUUUGAAUAAUUUGAUUUUAUGUGAUAUAUUAAGUUCUUACUAAAAUGUCUACCUCUUGCUUACUAGUCAUUAGCGUUCUUCAAAAAAAUAUUUUUGAAUUUUUUUCAAUUCUUGCCCUCUCAAAAGUUAGUGAUUGACAAACAAAAUAUCCUCCCUCAAGCCUGGCGCUGUAGCUUAACUCUAAUGGGUCGCUAUUUUUUUUUAGAUUCCCAUACAUUUAACAGAGGAAUUUUCAUUUUUUCAUUCAAACUAAAAUUUAACCAACUAAUUUUCGUUUCUCAAAACUAACCAUCACAUAUCGUAAAAUGUACAAAUAUAUAAACUAAAAAAUGCUUUUCACACAUCUCAAUUAUAUGACAUUAAAUUUCAAUUAUUUUGGCAACCACAAAAUAUAUAUAUACACACGUACUUACGAAAUUCGCAACAAAGUCAUCUCUUAAAUAUUACGUUAAAUUAAUAAACAACGCUGUAAAAAAAUAUGUUUGCUUGCUCUUCAAGCAAAUACUCUCUUUGUGUAAAUAACAAAGUCAAGUAAAUUUUGGCACCUUUCAUUCUUUUCUUUGGCACAAACAAGCAAAUGAAAAAACAAAAGUUACAACUGUUUAAAAUCAAAUGCAAUAAAAUAAAUGAGAGCAGGAGAAUGAUUCUCAGCGUAACCGUAGGCAAUGCAUGCAAAUGCACUGAGUGGGCGCCGUUAUUUGUGUAGUGCCAGCAAAAACAAGUUUCAUAGUGAAGAAAAAUGUGCAUAUUGAGUUGGACAAAAUUGUAAAUUAAUUAAUAACUUUAAUAUAAAAACAAUUUUGGAGGAAUAAAAAGUGAAAGUGUGUUCAAAUAAUUGGUGUGAAUGUGUGGAAAAUUUUAAAUACUCAAUGUGGCAGUAACUUGAAUUGAAAGAGAGGUUUGUUAAAAUGUGAAAAGCAAGUGUUUUCAAUUCCUUAUAAAAUAGUGAAAAGAAAGUGUAAAAUGUGUAAAUUUGGUUGGAAAAGUAUUAAGUUGUAAAAGUUCCAUGAGUAUUUUGUUUGUUGCGUGAAAUGUGUUGUGAUGUAAAAAAAAAUAAUAGUGCAAGGAAUUCAUACCAGUAAGGACUACCGGGAAAAUGCUGUUGACCAAAAAGAACAACAAAUGUAAGCACUUCAAGGCUUUCUGCAAAUGGAAAAUAAAACAAAUUGGUUGGCAACUGCCGCAGUAAACGAUCCUAAAGUGACAGCAGGAGUCUUGUUUUUAAAUUUCGCGGUUACGAGGUUGAUAAAUACAAG